CAGAAGCCGAGUACGUUAAAUUGUUACUCAUUUGUACUAAGAAGACUAUUGGAAUCCUUAGUGCUCAUCAGAAAUUUGAAGUUAAGAACCUGUCUCUUCAGCACAUUGCACUACGGGGCAAUUUAUAUGCAUUUGGAUUGAGUUUUGGAUGUUUGUCCAAUUGGCGUCAUAUUAAUAGGCACUAUAAACCUCAUUGGAGUCUUGUUGGAGAUUUUACCAGAAGCCGAGUACAUUGAAUUGUUACUCAUUUGUAUUAAGAAGACUAUUGGAAUCCUUAGUGCUUAUCAGACAUUUGAA